rnacentral:piRNA from 1 species
UCCUCUCGUAGAGCUAGCCUUCUGAUGGCAAU